UGAAUAAGUUUAAUAUUUUGUGGAAGACUGAUGAUUUGCUGAACGCAUGCAGCCAGCGGGUCUUCUUUCUUCUCAUUAUAUUUUAUUAAUCA
rnacentral:pre_miRNA from 1 species